rnacentral:rRNA from 1 species
UACGGAGGGUGCAAGCGUUGUCCGGAAUCACUGGGCGUAAAGGGCGCGUAGGCGGCUCAUGAAGUCUGUGGUGAAAGUCCGGGGCUCAACCUCGGAUCGGCCGUGGAGACUCGUGGGCUGGAGCACUGUAGAGGCGGGUGGAAUUCCUGGUGUAGCGGUGAAAUGCGCAGAGAUCAGGAGGAACACCGGUGGCGAAGGCGGAUCUCUGGGCCGUAACUGACGCUGAGGAGCGAAAGCAUGGGGAGCGAACAGG